GAUGAAGAACGUAGUGAAAUGCGAUACGUAAUGUGAAUUGCAGAUUUCAGUGAAUCAUCGAAUCUUUGAACGCACAUUGCGCCCGCCAGUAUUCUGGCGGGCAUGCCUGUUCGAGCGUCAUUUCAACCAUCAAGCCUUCGCUUGUGUUGGGGCCCCGCGGCUGCCGCGGUCCCCUAAAUCCAGUGGCGGGCUCGUCGUCGUACCGAGCGCAGUAGACAUCCUCGCUCCGGGAACCCGACGGGUGCCGGCCGUGAAACCCCCCACAUCAAGGUUGACCUCGGAUCAGGUAGGAAUACCCGCUGAACUUAAGCAUAUCAAUAGCGGAGGA
rnacentral:misc_RNA from 1 species